GAUGAAGAACGUAGCGAAAUGCGAUAAGCAAUGUGAAUUGCAGAAUUCAGUGAAUCAUCGAAUCUUUGAACGCACAUUGCGCCCCUUGGUAUUCCGAGGGGCAUGCCUGUUCGAGCGUCAUUAUAACCCCUCAAGCUCAGCUUGGUGUUGGGGCCUGCUGCACUGGCAGCCCUUAAAAUCAGUGGCGGCGCCAUCUGGCUCUAAGCGUAGUAAUUCUUCUCGCUAUGGAGUCCUGGUGGAUGCUUGCCAUCAACCCCCAAUUUUUCUAUGGUUGACCUCGGAUCAGGUAGGGAUACCCGCUGAACUUAAGCAUAUCAAUAAGCGGAGGA
rnacentral:misc_RNA from 1 species